UGGGGAAUCUUGCGCAAUGGGCGAAAGCCUGACGCAGCGACGCCGCGUGGGGGAGGAAGGUUUUCGGAUCGUAAACCCCUGUUGCCCGGGACGAAUCCCUGGUUUAGACCAGGUUGACGGUACCGGGUGAGGAAGCACCGGCUAACUCCGUGCCAGCAGCCGCGGUAAUACGGAGGGUGCGAGCGUUGUCCGGAAUCACUGGGCGUAAAGGGCGCGUAGGUGGCUUGGUCAGCGUGUGGUGAAAGCUCGGGGCUCAACCCCGAGUCGGCCAUGCGAACUGCCGAGCUUGAGCACUGUAGAGGCAGACGGAAUUCCGGGUGUAGCGGUGGAAUGCGUAGAGAUCCGGAAGAACACCGGUGGCGAAGGCGGUCUGCUGGGCAGUUGCUGACACUGAGGCGCGACAGCGUGGGGAGCAAACA
rnacentral:rRNA from 1 species